GACGAACGCUGGCGGCGUGCCUAAUACAUGCAAGUUGAGCGAUGAAGAUUGGUGCUUGCACCAAUUUGAAGAGCAGCGAACGGGUGAGUAACGCGUGGGGAAUCUGCCUUUGAGCGGGGGACAACAUUUGGAAACGAAUGCUAAUACCGCAUAACAACUUUAAACAUAAGUUUUAAGUUUGAAAGAUGCAAUUGCAUCACUCAAAGAUGAUCCCGCGUUGUAUUAGCUAGUUGGUGAGGUAAAGGCUCACCAAGGCGAUGAUACAUAGCCGACCUGAGAGGGUGAUCGGCCACAUUGGGACUGAGACACGGCCCAAACUCCUACGGGAGGCAGCAGUAAGGAAUCUUCGGCAAUGGACGAAAGUCUGACCGAGCAACGCCGCGUGAGUGAAGAAGGGUUUCGGAUCGUAAAACUCUGUUGGUAGAGAAGAACGUUGGUGAGAGUGGAAAGCUCAUCAAGUGACGGUAACUACCCAGAAAGGGACGGCUAACUACGUG
rnacentral:rRNA from 1 species